rnacentral:rRNA from 1 species
AACGAACGCUGGCGGCAUGCCUAACACAUGCAAGUCGAACGAGACCUUCGGGUCUAGUGGCGCACGGGUGCGUAACGCGUGGGAAUCUGCCCCUCGGUUCGGAAUAACACAGAGAAAUUUGUGCUAAUACCGGAUAAUGACUUCGGUCCAAAGAUUUAUCGCCGAGGGAUGAGCCCGCGUAAGAUUAGCUUGUUGGUGGGGUAAUGGCCUACCAAGGCGACGAUCUUUAGCUGGUCUGAGAGGAUGAUCAGCCACACUGGGACUGAGACACGGCCCAGACUCCUACGGGAGGCAGCAGUGGGGAAUAUUGGACAAUGGGCGAAAGCCUGAUCCAGCAAUGCCGCGUGAGUGAUGAAGGCCUUAGGGUUGUAAAGCUCUUUACCAGGGAUGAUAAUGACAGUACCUGGAGAAUAAGCUCCGGCUAACUCCGUG